rnacentral:rRNA from 1 species
CCUACGGGUGGCAGCAGUGAGGAAUAUUGGUCAAUGGACGAGAGUCUGAACCAGCCAAGUAGCGUGAAGGAUGACUGCCCUAUGGGUUUUAAACUUCUUUUAUAUGGGAAUAAAAUGUUCCACGUGUGGGAUUUUGUAUGUACCAUAUGAAUACGGAUCGGCUAACCCCGUUCCAGCCGCCGCCGUUAUUCGGGGGAUACGAGGGUUUGCCGGAUUUUGUGGGUUUAAAGGGGGUGUAAGUGGAUUGUUACGUUAGUUGUGAAAGUUUGCGGCUGAACCGUAACAUUGCAGUUGAUACUAGCAGUCUUGAGUACAGUAGAGGUGAGCGGAAUUCGUGGUGUAGCGGUGAAAUGCUUAGAUAUCACGAAGAACACCGAUGGCGAAGGCAGUUCACUGGACUGCAACUGACGCUGAGGCUCGAAAGUGUGGGGAUCAAACAGGAUUAGAUACCCGGGUAGUC